rnacentral:rRNA from 1 species
GUGUCAGCCGCCGCGGUAAUACGUAGGGUCCGAGCGUUAAUCGGAAUUACUGGGCGUAAAGCGUGCGCAGGCGGUCUCGCAAGUCCGAUGUGAAAUCCCCGGGCUUAACCUGGGAACUGCGUUGGAAACUAUGAGGCUCGAGUGCGGCAGAGGGGGGUGGAAUUCCACGUGUAGCAGUGAAAUGCGUAGAGAUGUGGAGGAACACCGAUGGCGAAGGCAGCCCCCUGGGCCAGCACUGACGCUCAUGCACAAAAGCGUGGGGAGCAAACAGGAUUAGAUACCCUGGUAGUCCACGCCCUAAACGAUGGCAACUAGUUGUUGGGGGAUGAACUCCCUUAGUAACGCAGCUAACGCGUGAAGUUGCCCGCCUGGGGAGUACGGUCGCAAGAUUAAA